rnacentral:rRNA from 1 species
UACAGAGGGGGCGAGCGUUGUUCGGAAUUACUGGGCGUAAAGGGCGCGUAGGCGGCCAACUAAGUCAGACGUGAAAUCCCUCGGCUCAACCGGGGAACUGCGUCUGAUACUGGAUGGCUUGAAUUCGGGAGAGGGAUGCGGAAUUCCAGGUGUAGCGGUGAAAUGCGUAGAUAUCUGGAGGAACACCGGUGGCGAAGGCGGCAUCCUGGACCGAGAUUGACGCUGAUGGCGCGAAAGCCAGGGGGAGCAAACGGG